rfam:Medicago truncatula strain A17 chromosome 3, whole genome shotgun sequence.
UUCGGUUCGGAUAAUUGUGGUUACUAACGGUUCAGUUUGGUUGUGAAUUGUUAUCAAAAUAAUUGUUCGGUUCGAGA